AGCUGUUUGUACUUCUUCAUCUGAGAAGUAUGUAUUCAUUUCAGAUGCUCAUUUUUGGAUUGAGUCAUUGAAUUUGGGGGAGUCUGAUUUUUUGGGGGGAGUACUGGGAAUCAAACUCAGGACCUUGUGCUUGCCAGGUAGGUGCGGCACCACUGAGCUAAAUCCCUAGCCCCCAAAUUUUUGGGACUGGGGUCUCACUGAAUUGCCCGUGCUGGUUUUGAACUUGCGAUCCCCUGUUUGCCUUUUUUUGAGACAGGGUCUUGCUAUGCAGUUUAGGCUGGCCAUGAAUGCACUACAUAGCCCAGGGUGGCUUUGAAGUCUCAGCCGUACUACCUCAGCCUCCCCAUUGCUGGGAUCACAGACGUGCACCAUCAAGCCUGGCGAGUCUGACUUUUUGAGUUCUUUUAUAUUCUAGAUAUUAUCCUUUGUCUGAGGAAAAGCUGGUAAAAAAACUUUCCAUUCUAUGGAAUUUCUCGUCACUGUGUUGGUGGUUUCUUUUGCUGUGCAAAAGCUUUUUAAUAUGAUGUGAUCCCAGUUGUUGAUUCUUUGUAAUAUUUCCUGUAGUAUCGGCGUUUUGUUCAUAAAGUCUUCGCCUAUACCUAUGCAUAGACUCUUUUAUUAACACCUGCCUUCUUCUUUCCCUCCCUUCCUUUCUUUCUCUUUCCUUCCUUGUACUGGGGAUUGACCAUGGGUUUUGUGUGUGCUGGGCAAGGACUGCACCACUGCUGAGCUUUAACCCCAGUUAUUUUUGUUUGUUUGUUUUGUUUUGUUUUAAUUUUAUUUUGAGACAGUCUGAGUUACCCAGGCUGGCCUCAAACUUGCAUUCCUUUUGCCUCAGCCUCUUGAGUAGCUGGGAUUACAGCUGAGUGGUGAUUUUAUGCAAUGGCUUCAAGCCACAGUUCUUCACCAGUGCCUCAAAGAAGCAGCAGUGAUGUGUUCUUUAAAAAGGAGGUAGAGUCAGCAAAACACAUUCGACCUGUGCAGUCACUGCCAGAUGUGUGUCCCAAGGAACCCACAGGUGAUUCAAGUAGUUUAUGUGUUGCCCCAUCUCUAGUUACAGAUCAACAUAGAUGGACUAUAUAUCAUUCCAAAGUAAAUCUCCCAGCAGCAUUAAAUGAUCCUAGAUUAGCAAAAAGAGAAUCGGACUUCUUCACAAAAACAUGGGGAUUGGACUUUGUAGAUACAGAAGUCAUACCUUCAUACUACCUCCCACAGAUCAGCAAGGAACAUUUUACAGCAUAUCAACAGGAAAUCUCUCAGGUAAUACUGAAUGUUGAAAUUUGUUAAGUCAGGUGAAUAGUAAUAUAAAUAUUUUUAGUUUGAUUGGGUGUAGACUUUUGAUGAA
rnacentral:lncRNA from 1 species